rnacentral:rRNA from 1 species
GACGAACGCUGGCGGCGUGCUUAACACAUGCAAGUCGAACGGAGUGGCGAACGGGUGAGUAACACGUGGGUGAGCUGCCUUGCACUCUGGGAUAAGCUUGGGUAACUGGGUCUAAUACCGGCUAGUGCCAGAUGAGCUCGCGGCCUAUCAGCUUGUUGGUGGGGUAAUUGCCUACCAAGGAGUCGACGGGUAGCCGGCCUGAGAGGGUGUACGGCCACAGUGGGACUGACGGACGGCACAAGGUGCUAAGGGGGGCAGCAGGGGGGAAUAUUGAACCAUGGGCGGCAGGUGGAUGCAGCGAGGCCUCGGGGGGGAUAACGGCCUUCGGGUUGUAGACUCCUUUCGACAGGGACGCGGUACCUGUAGAAGAAGCACCGGCUAACUACGUGCCAGCAGCCGCGGUAAUUC